rnacentral:misc_RNA from 1 species
UCCGGUUUAUCACCGGCAGUCCCCUAUGAGUCCCCGGCCGAACCGCUGGCAACAUAGGGCAAGGGUUGCGCUCGUUGCGGGACUUAACCCAACAUCUCACGACACGAGCUGACGACAGCCAUGCAGCACCUGUACAAGCGUCCCGAAGGAGGCUCCCUGUUUCCAGGGAGUUUCACUUGUAUGUCAAGCCCAGGUAAGGUUCUUCGCGUUGCUUCGAAUUAAACCACAAGCUCCACCGCUUGUGCGGGCCCCCGUCAAUUCCUUUGAGUUUCAACCUUGCGGUCGUACUCCCCAGGCGGGGUACUUCCUGCGUUAGCUUCGGCACGGAUGGGGUUGAUAUCCACCCACACCUAGCACCCAACGUUUACGGCUAGGACUAC